rnacentral:misc_RNA from 1 species
GAUGAAGAACGCAGCGAAAUGCGAUAAGUAAUGUGAAUUGCAGAAUUCAGUGAAUCAUCGAAUCUUUGAACGCACAUUGCGCCCCCUGGUAUUCCGGGGGGCAUGCCUGUCCGAGCGUCAUUACAACCCUCAAGCUCAGCUUGGUGUUGGGCCCCGCCGCCCCGGCGGGCCCUAAAGUCAGUGGCGGUGCCAUCCGGCUCCGAGCGUAGUAAUUCUUCUCGCUCUGGAGGUCCGGUUGUGUGCUUGCCAUCAACCCCCAAUUUUUUUCAGGUUGACCUCGGAUCAGGUAGGGAUACCCGCUGAACUUAAGCAUAUCAAUAAGCGGAGGA